rnacentral:rRNA from 1 species
GGUUAGUGCAAUGGCAUAAGCCCGCUUGACUGCGAGAAUGACAAUUCGAGCAGGUGCGAAAGCAGGUCAUAGUGAUCCGGUGGUUCUGAAUGGAAGGGCCAUCGCUCAACGGAUAAAAGGUACUCCGGGGAUAACAGGCUGAUACCGCCCAAGAGUUCAUAUCGACGGCGGUGUUUGGCACCUCGAUGUCGGCUCAUCACAUCCUGGGGCUGAAGUCGGUCCCAAGGGUAUGGCUGUUCGCCAUUUAAAGUGGUACGCGAGCUGGGUUUAGAACGUCGUGAGACAGUUCGGUCCCUAUCUGCCGUGGGCGUUGGAAGA